UCUGUAGUUGUGGCACGCGGGCUCUCUAGUUGUGGUGCAUGGGCUUAGUUGCCCUGCGGCAUGUGGGAUCUUAGUUCCCUGACCGGGGAUUGAACCGGUGUCCCCAGCAUUGCAAGACCGAUUCUUAACCACUGGACCACCAGGGAAGUCCUGCCGAUUUUAGUGUCUUUUGCAAUCUGAAUAGACUGAUAAUUUUCCAGCCUUCAAGUUUUGGCUCCCUUUUGCUUAACAUUUCUUCCCUCAAUCACUCUUUCCUCUUGCAUUUUAAUAUCAGCAGUGAGGAGAAACAAGGCAGCCCUUUCAAAUACUUUGCUUAGAAAUCUACUCAAAUGAAUAGCCAGAUUUCUUGUGUGUAAGCUUUGCUUCCUGCAUAACCACAGGACACAAGUUAGCUAAGCUUUCUGCCACUGUAUAGGCAGAAAUGAUCCCCUUUCUCUAGCUUCCAUUAACAUAUCCCUCAUUUUCUUCUGAACCCCCAUCAGCUGUGCUUUUAACAUACGUGUUUCAGAUAACAGUCUGUUUGUGAUGUUUAGGGGUUCUCUAAGACGACAUAGGUUUUCUCUAUCAUACCCCUCAGUUCCUUCUGAGUCCUUACCAGUAGGGUCUUUAACAUCCAUGUUUCUAGGCUUUUUCUAUAAUGCUCCUCAAAAGUCUUCCACUGCUUUUCCACUGCCCAAUUCCAAAGCCACUUCCAAAAAUUUUAAGUAUUGUUGACAGCAGUACUCCACUUCUGUCACCAAAAUCCGUAUUUGUUUCCUAUUGCUGCUGUAACAAAUUACUACAAACUUAGUGGCUUAAAGUAACACAAAUUUAUUAUCGUAUAGUUCUACAGGUCAGAAGUCCCAAAUUAGUCUCAGUAGGCUAAAAUCAAGGUGUCAUCAGGGCUGGUCCUUCUGGAUGCUCUAGGAAAGAAUGCUCCUUGCCUUUCCAGUUUUUAGAGGCUGCCUUCAUUCCUGGUGGCCCACGGCCCUACAUCUCUAUCUUUGCUCCCAAUGUCACAUCUUCAUCUUUCUGACCCUGACUCUCCUGCCUCCCUCUUAUAUGUGAUAUUGGGCCCACACAGGUAAUUCAGGAUAACCUCCUCGCUGCAAGAUUCUUAACUUAAUCACAUCUGCAAAAUCCUUUAUCGUGUAAUGUAACAUAUUCACAGGUUCUGAAGAUUAUGAUGUAGGCAUCUUGGGGCACUGGCAUUAUUCUGCCUAUCAUGGGGUAAGUCUGACAAAAGAUGGGAAAGACUUGUACGUUGAAGACUGUUCAGAGAAAUUUUAAGUGACCAAAACAAAUAGAAAGAAAUACCAUGUUUGUAGACUGGAAAACUCAAUAUUGUUGAAAUGUCAGUUCUUCCCAAAUUGAUCUAUAGAUUCAGAAACUCAAUAAGAAUACCAGCAGGAUUUCCAUAGGAAUGAAUAAGUUGACUCUUAUUUGGAAUUUAUAGAGAAAUGCAAUUUAUAUAGAAUAGCCAAAACAACUUUAAAAAAAGAACAGAUUUGGAGAACUUAUGCUAGCAGACUUAAAGAUUUAUUACAGAGCUCUAAUAAUCUGAACAGUGUGGUAUUGGCAUAAAAACAGACAUAAAGGUCAAUGGAAAAGAAUAGAGAAUCCAGAAAUAGGUCCAUACCUAUAUUGUCAAUUGAUUUUCAACACAGGGGAAAAGGCAACUCAGGGUAGAAAAGAUAGUCUUUUCAACAAAUGCUGAUGGUAUAAUCAAAUAUCCAUAUGUAAAAGAAAAGAAAAGAAACACAAUCCAUUCCAUGUACCAUAUAGAAUAUUAAAAGUGAUCCUAAGUGUAAAAGCUACAAUUUAUGAAACCUCAAGAUGGAAACACAGAGGAAGUUUUUGCAAUCUUGGGCUAUAGGUAAAGAUUUCUUAGCUACAACGCGCAGCCUGGGCUGGCGUGUUGAUCCCUCCUCCUCUUGCUGUGCUCAUUAUUCCUGGACCCACAAGAGCUAUUGUGUAACUGUGAGCAAGAGGCUAAGAAAUCACGAUUUCUUAGUCACUGAACCGACGUCGGGCUACUUCCCUUCAGACUUCUCGUUAAUGUGAGACGAUAAACCCCUGUUUCUUUAAGCCACUAUGAGUCAGACUUUCUGUUACUUGCAGCUUUAGGUUACGCCACCUUUCAGAUGUGUCUUAACUACCCAUCCCUAGAUGACUCCUUCCCCAGGGUGAGACGCACUUGUUCCUCUAGGCCAUGGGGGACAGUGCUCAGUCACCGUGUCAGCCCCUUCUCACACCCACCUAGGACCCCCGGGCCUGUCCCUGUGAGACCCACGUCCCCAAGGAGUGACCUGGCAGGGGCAGGUUAGGCAGCCAGCCGCUCAAGGACAAGGCAGGAAGCGCUGGAGCUGUACUUGUUCACCGUCACCUGUGGGUACAGUCUGUGGUUCCAGAAACAUAUAGGAGGAUCUCGUGGACCACAAGGGAGCCACCCAGCAAGGAAGAGGAUGCAGACUGGGGGUGUCAGAAAUGGGAGGUCUGCACGACCAUGGAGAUGUAGUCCGAGCCCAUCCAGGGUUUGUGGCAUUCCCCUCGCAGCUCAGAGCAGGCUGGGUCCCAGGAGUACAAGCGUGCACCAUCGUUUCCUAGAAAUAACAGACUCCGCUGCACUUUUCAGGGGUGACCGAGGGUUGGCCUUGGAAAGGCCCUGGAGGUCAGAGGGGCUCAGGCCCUGCCCGGCCUUACCGCAGCCCCAUCCAUGAUGCAUCAGAGCAGCCUCUCGUGGUGUGGGGGGCUGCCCUGGGUGAGGCUGCCUGUGGAGUGCGCCCCUAGGAACAGGUGUUCCUGCUGAGAUCUAUGCUUAGGGGAGUGUUUACAACCCUCAGUGCCCGGGAACCUCUCCAGGCUGACACUGUGACAUCCCAUAGCGACAGCCUGUCCCAGAGCCCAUCCCCGUGGGGUGGGUGUGGGGGAGUAUUGUCCUUUGUGGAGAAGACCCCAGCCCUGGGGGUGGCUCUGUGUCUCACCAGGGAGGGCAUCCUGGGCUUUGCUUGAGGAGAGGCCUGGACAGAGAGGGCAGUGGUGGAAUUCAGGGUGCAAACUUUCCACCUUCCUUCAGUGAACAGCUUCAAUGGCUUAAUUUCUCCCAGCAGGUAGGUGGGGUCUGCGUUGGAAAGGAUGAGCUCGGGGAGGUGUUACCUUGCUGGUGGGGGGAUUGAAUGCCAGACUCUCUUUCUGCAAACAGAAGCGUGAUAUCCUGCAUGCUUCCCUUCACCCUGUGAUACUGGUUCUGUGUUUUGUGAGCAUUACCUUAGCUGGUCCUCUCCGGAGCGCCUUGCAAUGGAUGAGGUCUUCAGCAUCUUAGCGUCAAGGAAAGGGUGAAUGUCGGAGAAGCAGGAAAGGCAGGCAGCUGUGGUCAGACCACGUGAGGCUGAGGAGUUUGGAUGGGACCCAGAGGGCCAUGGGACCGCUGAGGUCUGCAUUUGGAAAGAGGCUCUGGGGGCAGCACGGAAGGAGGACCUGUGGAGGCUCUUGUGACACUCUGUACAGGGGACAUCGGGCAGAAUUAAGACUAUUGUUCUGGACACACAUCUGGAGACAUCUGUCUUUCUACGCCAGGGCCUUUGUUAUCAGAGCGGAUUCAUCUGACCCUACAUCCCAAGGAGACAGAAUCCUCAGAAGAACCUUGGUAACAGUGUCAAACGCCUGGGUCCUCAGCUCUCAAUAUGCAUGUUAGAAGUAGCAGGAGUCUUUGGAGAAAAGCCUUUUUGUGGUCACAUGAAUUAGGAAAACUCUGGGUUCCACAUGUUAAUGGACUCUGGGCUGCAGGCCUUCUCAGGACCUUUAGUGGUGCCACGACAGUCUCUAAGAGGGGGCUCCUGUGUGCAGGGCCCCCCAAGGAUACUGGACCAAUGAACACGUUUUCCAGGGAGCAUCCACCUCCAUGUCCCAGACCUGGUGCUCUGGGGUCAUGGUUCAGGGAACAAUGGUCAGAGCUGGGCUAGCCUCUGGGUGGAGGUGAGGUCAAGCCCCUCAUUUCUUCCUCAGACAGACUGAGGCCUGGAGAGGGAGGGGAAUUGUCCGGCAGAGCCAGCAGGCAGACUCUGGGCUUAGGACCCCUGGGCAGGAUCCCUUCUCCUGUGCAGUCUUUCUGCUUCCUGUGUUCCAAUUUGCCUGGUCCCCAGAGGGGCCUGCUCUUUCAUUUCAAUGGACUCUUCUGGAAGGCAUUUGGGAGGGUGACUGGGGGUUGGGUGUUGCCCCCGUCUGUGUCCAGGCCUCUGAUGUGGACCUGUGUGAACGUGUCCUUCGCCACCCCCCGAGAGAGUUGUGUCUGAACCCGAGACAGACACUGGGCAGAAAGCAAUUAUGGCCCCGACAUUCCGCAUGGAGCCAUUUGUGGGCCAGCGAGGCAGGAAUGUGCCUGUCUGGGCGGCGGCCUCGGUAACGAGACCUCUGUGGGCCCAGAGACAAGGGCCGGCUUUGGCCUUGAGCGUCCCCGCUGGGCCCGCGCACAGCACCACGGUGGCCGCUGACGGCGACUGUGCUUGGCUGGGAUGCAGCUGAGCAUGGGCAGGGCGGGGCCAGGGCAUCAGGAAACCCAGUUUAUGUAACAGUUUCCUGGUGUGACUGUCCCGGAGGGAACUUCAUGUCGCCAAGCACAAAACAGGUGCUUCCUUAGUUCAUCCUGCGGAUACUUAUGGGGGGUGAGGGGUCGAUUCCACACCAGACCUCGUGUGGACCCCUGGGGGCGGGGAGAGGGACGGUGUCUUAGUUUGGGUUCCCGGCAUGAGAGACCGAGGUGAGGAUUUGGGUGCCAAUAAGCUUGCUGGGAGCUGAUUCCCGGAAGCAGGAUGGGGCAGGGGGGUGCGGGGAGUAGAACAGAAAAGGGGAAAAGCUAACCCUGGGUAGUGGAGGGCACGGCUGGGGCCAUGAUGCCCGAUUCCACGGGGACCUGCAACCUGCAGGCUGGGGGCGGACUGUCCACAGGAAAGAUGAUGCAGGGCCAAGCCACCUGCUGGCUCCUCGCCCGCUGCCUGAGGUUCGCCCCUGGGGGUAACCCCACCUUCCUGGCUGUGUGCUCCGCCGUGCAUGAUGCAGGCUUGGGGCGGGCAUUGUCGGGGCCAGGGCAGUGGGAGUAGCACCUGUCCCCAAGGCGCAGCAGGGUCAGAAGUGGACCCAGGGGUGCCUGCCAUGUGCCACCUGUCUCCAGGGCGUGGCGAGGUAGAUAGUUUUGGGCUGGGGGAAAGGAGAAUGGAGUGAGCCCGACCCUCCCCGUCCCGCGCUCUUGCUUCCCUCCAGCUUCCCCUGCUGGCCAUCAUCACAGCGUACUAGCUUGGAAGAAAGAGCUGUAAAAGGGCCAGUUUUGGAAAAUGUGGUCAGAGGGGCCUGGAUCCCCACUAUCCCUCUUCCGGAGCAGGAAGCCGGCUGUACCACCAGAACCUUCCUAAGCAUGGUCUGAGUAAUGACUUACCCACUGCCUCCAGAUUCAGGAAGUCUUAUCUGGCUUCCUGAAAAACCUUAAGUUAGAAAAGCAAGUUGGAAUUUUUUUUCCGUAGAAACUGAAUUAGUAAUGCAAUUUUUUUUUCACGUGGUCAUGAAAAUGUGAAUGGAAAUCCUGAAAACGAGCCCCACCAAGCCUGCUGAGAUGGCUCUUAAAAUCUGGGGGCUGCCCAGGUUAGCGGGAGGGUCUUUCUGCCUGUUUGGUGUAUCUGGGAUGUGCAUCUGUGAGGUGUUCCCCGCCUUUGGGAAGGUGAGUUGCAGAGAAGCGUGUCCUCAGAGUCUGGUGAAUUCUCCGCAUGUCCCUGUGACUGCUCAGCACCUGGAUGAGGGGUCCCUAGCGCUGAAGUUCUCCUCAUUUUCAGCCUGUCACGCAGGGCCGCCUUCUGAAUGGAGGAGCCCAGGCUGCCGGCUCGCAGUGCUCUGUGUCAAAACACUUCAAGUGGAAAUGUGUGCUCAUUCUGCCAUCCAGUAGGAUCCCACAGAGAGGCUCUGAGGCCUCCAGGUCUUCGGGAUGGGUGGGGCUGGGGCCUCCAGCUACGGGCUGGGAUCGGAGCUGCCCCCCGGGGACCCCUGACGGGCUGGGGCUGGGACUCAGUCAGGGGUAUGGGGCAGUGUGAUUAUCAGAGGGCAGGCUUGUGGCAGGAGGGACGAGGCCAGGGUGGGGACAGCAGAGACAGGAACUUUGCCCACAAUCCAGUUGGUUGGAUUCCAGCCACCAGAGCCCUAGGCCAGAACCCAAGGUUGCUCCAGCAAUACCCAUCCAGCUUGGGUUAGGCCGGUGGUUAGCAGCUCAGAUGGGGACCCACGAGACAUAGGCGUCAGAUUUUGAACGGCAUGAGGAUGGACAGCAUCUAUAUUAGAAGCCAGAAUUAGGAUUAGAAAAUGACCCCACUGGCUGACGAGACGGACAAUCUUAGAAAAGGAAAAGAUUCAGGAAAAAGGGGACGAGCCCUGUAUCAGGUCCUGUUGUGAGUACAGGGUGGGGGCUGGAGACGUGGAAGGACUGGUACAGCAGCAUAGAUAGCUCAUUCCUGGGGGGAGGGGCAGCUCUGCUCACCCACACCCUCCCCCAGGGCACCCCCCGGGCAAGCCCCAUGUUUGAACACUGGCACUCACCCCUCCUGGGCCACAGCUGAUUGGACCAGAAAGGAGACUUGAUCCAAGGAGAUCCAGUCUUUCGGCAAGAUGAGCUCAUCAUCUUCGUUGCCCCCCAGAAUUCUGGACUGGGACCGGAGACAUUCAUCAGUUGGAUGGUAGCCCUGGAGCUCGGGCGGCCAUGUUUGAGGGUUUGAGCAGGUGCAGAGAAAAGGGCUCUGGAGGAGAGGGAAGAAUGAAGAGUCCGAUGAUCGGAGAGGAGCGGGGAGAAACCGUGCGGCCCCGGGCCGGGCUGGGGCGGGGCUGGAGAAGGCCAUUGAGUUGUCCCAGCCAGCAUCGGGUCACCAUUUUCCAUACCUGCACUUUCUGCCCUCAGUUCCUUGACAUAUUUUCAGACUUCUAGCUAAAGUCCACUUUUUGUGAGCUGAUUUGAGUAGGCUUCAGUCCCCGGCAUCUGAAACGCUCCCUGGGAGAGCCAGCGCCCUCAUUGUCAUAAGCAGGACAGAAGCCCGUGGGGGGAGGAGCCAGCUGGGCAGGGCCUGGGUGGGGGGAGGGGUGCUCCCGCAGCUCUGUGCGUGGCUGGGCCACGUUGGAUCCCAUCAGCUCAUCUUGGGCACCACGCCACAGAAGGACAGAGCAAGAUGGUGUCUGUUCAUGGAGUGUGACCCUGGUGGCAAGGGCACCUGGACCCCUGGCAUUGGAGAAAUGGCCAAAGCGUCAUACAUUCUGCCUGGAAUGAAGGAGACUUUGUGUGGGACAGAAGAAGCAUCUCUGAUGUUUGAAGUCUUGUUAGAGAAAAAGCAAAGACUGUUCUGAGCUCCCUGAGGCUGUUGGAUUAGCUCCAAAGGUCAAGGGUCCACUUUUGGCCUGGUGUAGGGGAAACCUCCUCCUGAAACUGCCUGCCACAGGAUGGGUGGACUUGGGCAUAGGGAGCUCCCUGCUCCUGCAGCUGAAGGACCACUUGAAUGGGUAUUACAGGACAUGCAAGAAUGGAGCUGUUGGCCUGGACUGGAUAACCAUAAAGAACAUCUUCACCCAGGACAAGAACAGCCUCUAGCCAUGACCUUGAAGAUGACCAUGACCAAUGGCCAUGACCACAGAGAAUAUCUUUACUUGCAGGUAGGACCUAGUCCCAGGCCAGGAAAAACCCCAAACCAUGACCUUGAAGGUGACCAUGACCAAUGAUCAUGACAAUAGAGAACAUCUUCUUUCCCUGGACAGCCCCAAGAAUGACCGUGAACAUGAGUGCGUUGCAGAAUCUGAUGGGCCCUGUGACCCGAGGGACAGGCAGGCCCUGGGAAGGCAGCCACCAUGCUGUGAGGACGUUCAGGCAGCCCUGUGGGGAGGCCCAUGUGCUAAGGAACUGAGGACUCCCACCAGCAGGCAGCAUCAACUUGCCAGCCAUGUGAGUGGGCCGCUUGGAAGUGGACCUUCCAGCCCCAGCCAUGCCUUUAGAAGACUGUAGCCCUGGCUGACAUCUGCCUGCAGUCCUAUGAGAGACCUCUAGACAGGACUGUCCAGCCAAGCUGCUCCUGAAUUCCUGACCACAGAGCCUGUGAGAGGUGAUAAAUAAUUACUGCUGUUUUAACCCAUGAAGCUUUGGGCUGAUUUGUUAUGCGGCACUAGAUAACAAAUACAGCUGGUUAUUGUGGUAGGCAGCUUCCAAGACGGCUGCCAACGAUCCCAGCCUCCCGGUCAUUCAUGCCAUCAUGUAAUGCCCUCUGCUUUAGUGUGGACUGGACAUGGUGACUUGCUUCUAAUGAAAGAAUAAGGCACAUCUGAUGGGGUGUCACUUGGAGAUUACGUUACAAAAGUCUCUGGCUUCCAUUAUGGGUGACACUUGCUCUUUUGCUGGUUCUGAGGGAAGCCAGCUGCCAUGUUGUGAGCUGUCCUAUGGAGGGGUCCACAUAGCCAAGAACUGAGAGAUGUCUCCAGCCAACAGCCAGUGAGGAACUGAGGCCAUGAAUCCAACACCUUGUGAUAAAUGGAACCUUGGCAGCAGCCGUGUCGGUGAGCUGACAGUUGAACCUUGAAAUGACUGCAGCCCCAGCAGACGCCUCGGAUCCAGCCCUGUGAGAGGCCCUGAACAAGAGGACUCAGACAAGCUGCCCCUGGGAUCCAAGUGCACAGAAACCAUGAGGUAGAAAAUGCUUGUUGUUUUAGAGCUGCUGAGCGUGGGGUCAUUUGUUACACAGCAAUAGAUUAUUAAUACAUUUACGAGGAAUGGUGCCAACCUCACCUGUCCUGUCCCUAGGGGAGCUGCUUGGCUGUGGUCUAGACUUGGGUCUCAGCCUACUGAACCACUCGAACCUUGGUCAGUCAGGGGCCCAAAGCAGGUAGGGGGAGCACUGAGGGGCUGAGAAUAUGGGGGGGGCAUCCUAAUACCUGCCGAUUUCUGGAAAACCAAGUCAGCCUCCAUAAGACCAUAGGAGAUGAAUAAGUUUGUGGGUGAGACAUAGGUUCAAGGCCAGGUUCUAUCCUCCUGUACCUGUGUGAUGUUUAGCAAUGUUACAAGUCCUCCGGGAGCUCUGGCUCCCAAGUUGCCCUGCUGGAGCAGAGGGGGGGCCAUGCAGUGAUCCAACUGCCCAGUUAGCACCAACCAGAGAGCCAACAUGAGGACUGAGCAACAGGAUCUCCAGAAGGGAGCUUGGCCCUGGAACAUGGUAGGUGCUUGAUACAAGACUGACCCUGUAGCUGUCAGGAUUCUUGGCGUACUGUCUUCGGUCCAACCACCGAUGUCACGAAGUCCUCACAGUGCCCUCCUGAUGCCCAGAUCUAGGAGGACUUGGGGAGGAUGCCGGCUCUUCAAAGACGAAGAGGUCUCAGCUGUGUAAUCACCACCACUUUGCUUGGGGCCCUCCCCGAGGAACAUACUCCCGGAUCCAUCACCCCCUUGCUCCGGUGAGUCUGAGCCUGGGCUUUGCAUGCUGUCCUGCAUGGAAUACCAAUGCCUCUGUUCAGCUCCCCAGAAGUCCCUGCUCUCCUCCCCUGUGGGCGCCGAGGGUCUCUGCCUGGCUUGGUGUUUAUUUCUUGCAGUAUGAAGCGAUGAUUUAAUUCUUGCCUGAGAUAUCAUUCAGCCCCAGUUCAUGCUGAAGUGAAAUAUAUUUCAGCACCCACCGAUUUCCAUAUAGAUAAAAAAAGGAAAAAAAAAAGAGGAGAAAGGAAACAACCUCAACCAGCAUCUUCACACGCUAUGCAUUUGAAACGUGCUUCUUGAAGAUGGAUUGCUCCGUUAGGCUGCUAAGAGGUUUUUCUUGACUUGUCAACAGUUUUAUCCCCCUACAAACAUUCUUGGCUAUAAAUUAUUCAUUGCCCAGUUAGCGGUUGAAAAAAAAUGCCUGGAGCUGAGGCACUUUCUUAAUUCUCCCUCUGCUCUUCAGAUCCAAGUUGUUUUUUCCCCUCCCAUUGCUGGAAAAGUAGAAGUAACUGGAAUUCUCCUGGCUUGGAGGUUCAGGCUGGAUGCAGUGAGAGAGUCGUGUUGAACCCAGAGUGAGCUUGGCUGGGGGUUGGGGGGAGGCAGUCAUUUAUAGUCUGGGGAAAGGCAGGACACUGGGGUUAUCAAAUAUAUGUUGAGAUAGGAAAUAGGUGUGUUUGGGGCUUUCUUUUUGUUCUGUUGGCAGGAACUCCAGGGUUUCAAAAAAGCAGAGGGGAGACGAUUCUAUCCUAGAGCCAUUUCGGAGUCCACAGCUGGAAAGGAUCUGAGGCUUCCUCUGUUUAUCUGAUUCCACUCUCUGGGGCCCCGCUCUGCCAGGAGAGAGCACCCCCUUGUCUUUCUCCAUCGUGCCCACCCUCUCCUCUCCUGUCCUGCGCACCCCUGGACCACCUCCCUCACCCCCAGCUGACUUCCUUCUCCAGCGCGGAUUCUCAGACCCCCCCACCGUCUCUGUGUCCCCAUGGGAGGUGGAUAGAAGUGGUGGGUGGGAUUAGGCUUCAGAAUUUGGGGCCCGUGUUAGCUGCAGCAAAGCCCUGUGGGCUGGGUGGCUUAAGACAACAGAAAUCCGGUCUCUUAGUUUCUUAAUUCUCCCUCUGCUUUUCAGAUCCAAGUUGUUUUCUCCCUGCUGUUGAAAAAGUAGAAAUAACUAGAAGUCUCUUGACUUGGCGGUUCAUGCUGGAGCCCAGUGACAGAGUUGUGUUGAGUCCUAGAGGCUAGGAUUCAGCAGGGCUGUACUGCCUCGAGACUCUGGGUAGGAUCCUCCUUCCUUGCCUUCUCCCUGCAGCUUCAAUCUCCAUCGUCACGUGGCAUUCUCCCUGUGUGUCUCUGUGUUCAAUCUGAUCCUCUUAUAAGGACGCCAAUCAUAUUGGAUGAAGGGCCUACCCCGGUGCUCAUCUUAACUUCACUAGGACCAUCUGCAAAGACCCUAUUUCCAAAUAAGGUCACCUCCACAGGUACCAAGGGUUGGGACUCCACCAUAUCUUUUGGGGGGACAUGAUUCAAUUCAUGACAGAGUCAGAGGAGGGAAGAGCCCCCAGUGACCAGGCUGCUGAGCAGAGCAUCAGAGGCAUCAGAAGGCUGAAGAUCUCCCAUCCUGCUGAGACCUCAGCCUCCCCAGCAACACUCUUGCACCAGAGUCCCCUUCUCUGCCCCUGGCUCUGCAGAGGUGCCAGGCUUUGCUGUGGGCCUGAAAAACUGUCCUUUCACAGCUGUGUAGAGAGAAAAAUCAGGCUAACUGCAGGACUGCUGCACCUCUAAUGGGACCCGGACCUCCCCGGGAGAGCGGCUGUCUUAGACCUUGUCCGGUGGCCUGGUCUGAGGGCACCAUGUCCACCUGCCGUCAGCAGCAGGAGAUGUGGCCUGAGUGUCCCCCUGCUCUAAGAUUUCACCUUGACUCCCAAGUCCUCCCCGCUCCCCACAUUCUCCCCAGGCAGUGGGGGCUUUGCCAGGGCAACAUUUCUGGGUGGGCUCUCGGAAGAUCUCUGAGCUCUGCUGCUCAUCCAGAGAGAACUGGCAGUGGCAGCUAAACGGUCCGCUGUGCCAGUGCCCUGCUGGGUGAAGCAGGUUCAUGUGCGGAGUGAUGAUGGCACUGUUGCUGUGUCUUGGGUUGGACAUUGGAUUAUUUUCCUCCAACCCGACCAAGAGUUUUGGCUUUCAGAGAAGAUCUCCAGAAGCUGGGUUUAUAAACAUCAGUGGGUAUCGGAUUUAGUCAAGGGUAUCCAGCGCCUGGCAUCCAUCACCUCUCACCAGCCCUGCUGUGGCUACUAAGUUCGGUUGCAUAACCCAGACAGCAGACAAAAGAGGCAGGGGCCCGAUGGUCCCUAUCCAUUUCAUUAGAUGUGGUUGUUACUUCCUGGGUCACUCACCUUUGGUUGAACUUAAGUUUGUCAGACUAAGCAGCCUUUAAUUGGAGACCCUGGGGCUCCUUGGAACCCAGGCCACCUCUAAGCAUGGGAUCGAGUCUGGAGUGUAGGAAACAAAAUUUGUCACCCCAAAAUGUGUCUGGCAUGUAGAUUAUUUCACGCUGAAAAUUAUCAAGGCCCAAAAGACUCAGGAAGAAACUUUGAACUACCCCCCUAAUCGCCUGAAAAAUUUAGAUAGAGGGCCUAUUACAGGAAUAGAGCUAUCACCAGACGUCUGCCGAGAAUACAAGCUAGGUGUGGUAGGGGAACUUUUAGAGAUCAGAGUCUACUCUGUGUCCCAUUGUCUCUGCAGGGCCCCAGCAAACAUUUAUUUACUAAACAUGAGCUUUUCCAUCUGCAGGUGAAUUGCCUUUCUCCCCUUCGAAGUCCCAAGCCACCACUCCUAACACCCUCUGCCCUCUUUAGCUGAAGGUGACAUUUAAAGUCAGGACUUUGCCAUUUUGGUGCCUUAUUCAGUUUUCCUGGGUCUCUCCCAUGUAUAUACGUUAUUAAACUUUUGUUUGAUUUUCUCCUAUUAAUCUUUCUCAUGUCAAUUUAUUUCUUAGACCUGCCAGAAGAACCUAGAAGGGUAGAGAAAAAUUUCUUCCUCCCCAACAGGAGCAAAGGCAGCCGAAGGAAAGGACAGGAGAGUGGUGUUAGCCCCUGGCCCACAGCUGAGGAAGAAAGGAAGUAGGUCCCAAGCACCCUCACAUACACUAUUUUACCUAAUCCUUACAAUAGUACACCCAUUGCACAGAUGAGGAGACUGAGGGUCAGAGAGGCCAAAUGACCUGCCUAGUAAGUGACAGAAUCUAAUGGACCUGAGGUUCCUGAAUGAGACAAAUUCUUCUUCGGGCAGGUAGUUUCACAUCCCUCUGAUCACACUGUGAUGGGUGGUGACGUAGUCCAAAGGAUCUUUGGGAAAAUGAGGUUCUUUCCCAGGGCUGGGAUCUGACCAGAAGCCUUUGGAGCUGAGUACUGGCUUCUCCCAGGCUGUCUGGGAAGCUGCACUUGUAUCACAUCUGGGUGUGGCCCAUAUUGAUGGUGGAACUGCAAAACCCAGGAUGGGCAGCCCCACCUGUGGGGCACUUGAUAGGGAAUUACUCAGAGGAAGAAGAUACAGCAGGUCUCUGAGGGAACAGUUGCUCUCCUGGGAGCAUCCAGUGGAAAUUCUUUUCCAUUCAAAGUUAGAGUCAAAUAAGAGAAGGUCUUUAGAAAUGAGGGUUUUUCAGGGAGCACUUGAAACCAUUUCGUAGAAAUCCGGACUGUUUUAAAGAGAAACAGGAGUGGCAAGAUGUCCAAAAAUUAAUUUUUAAAAUUAAUUCCAUCAUCUUUUCAAUUGUCCAAGUCAUUUAGUUUUGUUUUUAUUGCAUUAUUUUCUUUCUUAAGACUGGAUUCUUUGAAAUAAUACUGCGAUGAAUAUGGAGGUCCUUCACUUUUUGUAUUCCUUUUUUAUUAACAAUUUUGUUGAGAUGCAAUUCACCUAUCAUAUAGUUCAUCCAUUUAAAGUGCACAGCUCUAACACAGGGAGCUCUACUCAGUACUCUGUAUUAGCCUAAAUGGGAAAAGAAUCUGAAAAAGAACGAAUAUAUGUAUAUGUAUAAUUGAUUCACUUUGCUGCACAUCUGAAACGAACGCAACAUUGUAAGUCGACUAUAGGCCAAUAAAAUGUUU